UUGAUGCAAGCGACGGGCGCGACACGCACCUCCAACCAACGCUUUCUCCGGUGAUCCCCGGCCAUGAGCACGUCUAUCCCCUACAAGCCGCUACCGGUGCUCCCUCUCCGCUAGAUGCGGCAAGGUCGUGCGAGUGUUCUGUAGCUCGGCGCUGCACCAUGGGACAGGAUCGUCGCCCUCCUGGCCACAGCCGCAAACUUCGUGUCUGGCCUGCUUAUCCUCACCACUUUCAGAAUCGGAGGCAGUGCGUGACUGGUGACCAGUGUCCGACUUUGAUCGUCGACGCUGAUGAUGGAUUCAAGCACUCCACCAUAUUCUUGGUACAACACCACUGGGGACUUAGCAAAACUGCUUUUUAGCCAUUAACAUCCAAGUCCUAGAUAUUGUUAUGGCAUAAAUUUUGACGGUUAGGAUUUUAACAAGGUGCAGAGCUGUGUAGGUUGAGAUGACAGAGAUAAUAGUAUGCUAAAUGUGUAGACAUAGUUUGACAAUUUUGCUGAAACAUAGUACUCCCUUUAGUAAAAAAGAUGUCCUGAAUAAGCUCUAAUAUGACACCAUGAUUGUUACCAUUUGUUCAGAAGGACAAAUGUAAGUUCUAUAAAAUAAUUGACUGAUAUUUUCAGAUUUUCUCCUUGUACACUUUUAAUAGCUCAUGAUGUUUAGUGAUCCUUUUUCCAUAUGUUUGUGAUCUAUUUUCAGGCUACAUCAUCAGGAUUCACACCUCGUCAGAUCCGAGAUCUUUGAUUUCCUGCUGUUUGGAAGGGAUCCAUUAGUCGCCGCUGUUCAACUUAGAUGUAACACAAUCUGUAAAAUCUGUAAAGGUCCAUUAUUGCCAUUCAGAGACUCCAUCAUGGAGUAAUUUUUGCGUAACCUCUAGGUUAAUUUUUUAUGUGGUCGGCAUAACACCUAAUUCAUAAUGAUGUAAUUUUAAAUAAGUUAUAAGGUUUAAGAGAAAUCUUAUACCAAUAAAGAAAAUAAUCGGGUUGGUCAAGGGG
rnacentral:lncRNA from 1 species